rnacentral:rRNA from 1 species
GAAUAACGCUAAGUGUGGUCCAGCCCAGUUAGUACUUGGAUGGAUGACCGCCUGGGAAUACCUGGUGCUGUAUGCU